GACGAACCGUGCAAACGUUGUUCGGAAUCACUGGGCUUAAAGGGCGCGUAGGCGGGUCACCAAGUCUGUGGUGAAAGCCUCCAGCUUAACUGGAGAAGUGCCGUGGAUACUGGUGGUCUCGAGGGAGGUAGGGGCAUGUGGAACUUCCGGUGGAGCGGUGAAAUGCGUAGAUAUCGGAAGGAACGCCGGUGGCGAAAGCGACGUGCUGGACCAAUUCUGACGCUGAGGAGCGAAAGCCAGGGGAGCAAACGGG
rnacentral:rRNA from 1 species